CUACUGGAAACAGUGGAGAGGGAGGAGAUGAUAUGCAGCAUACGGCCCAGCCGGUUGGUUGCUGCUCCGUGUGGAACGUGUCCUAUCAGGUGUAACAUCUACCAAUGGUUGUACAUGACAGAGACCUCCUCCACCUCUUUGCUGUCUUACUAGUCAAUCCUUCUGAUCAGGUCCUUUCCUAAAUAGUGAAAGGAUCAUGCCAGCCCACAUCAAACACCUGAUCAAGAGCUUGUGAACCUCACUGCUGCAGACACCUGUGUGAUAUUCCACUCUGACUGGAAGUUACUCUCAAAAUGAC